AGCAGCCGCGGUAAUUCCAGCUCCAAUAGCGUAUAUUAAAGUUGUUGUAGUUAAAAAGCUCGUAGUUGAAUUUCGGGGUCAGUAGGUCGGUCGUGCCACUGGUAUGUACUGGCUUCACUGAUUCCUCCCUCUUGUAGAACCGUGAUGCCAUUAAUUUGGUGUUGCGGGGAAACAGGACUGUUACUUUGAAAAAAUUAGAGUGUUUAAAGCAAGCUAACGCUUGAAUACAUUAGCAUGGAAUAAUGAAAUAGGACGUCGAUCUUAUUUUGUUGGUUUCUAGGGUUGACGUAAUGAUUAAUAGGGAUAGUUGGGGGCAUUAGUAUUCAAUUGUCAGAGGUGAAAUUCUUGGAUUUAUUGAAGACUAACUACUGCGAAAGCAUUUGCCAAGGAUGUUUUCAUUAAUCAAGAACGAAAGUUAGGGGAUCGAAGACGAUCAGAUACCGUCGUAGU
rnacentral:rRNA from 1 species